GACCGAGGGGGCAAGCGUUGCUCGGAAUUACUGGGCGUAAAGGGCGCGUAGGCGGGAUGGCAAGUCGGUCGUGAAAUCCCUCGGCUCAACCGAGGAACGUCGAUCGAUACUGCUGUUCUUGAGGAUUGCAGAGGAGACUGGAAUUCCCGGUGUAGCGGUGAAAUGUGUAGAGAUCGGGAGGAACACCGGUGGCGAAGGCGGGUCUCUGGGCAAUUCCUGACGCUGAGGCGCGAAAGCGUGGGGAGCAAACGGG
rnacentral:rRNA from 1 species